UAAAUGCUAUAAUAUUACUAAGCGGGAACUAAUUUCGCCAAUACUCGGAUAAAAAUUAAGCGAGCGCCAAAUACAUAAUUUUUCCCUCUCGUGAUAUCACUUUUAGAUACUUAAGCUAAUAAAAAAAAUUAUUGGCCGAUAGACUUGAAAAGAAAAAGUCCAACUCUCUUUAGAAACUGAAACCCUAUUAAAAAAAAGAGUCCCACCGAUAUCUCUUCCUCCUCUCCGCUCCUCUUCUCCUAUCUUUCUCUCUCGACACCGACCAGUCUCCUCCGACUCUCCUUCUCGUUCUCUCCUCCGACAAGAGUCCUCAUGGAAUCGUCGUUCUCCCUUCUUCUUCUGCUAUUUAUUGUUUUGUAUUAGUCAUGGAGUAUGGUUUCAAUUAGUUUUAGUGUUAGGGUUUUGAAUUGGGGAUAAAUGAUUGUUCUGUAUUAGUCCUCGAUUUAGAUUGUUCUUAUCUCUGGUUUGAUUUUUCCUGUCUUUCCAUCUGUGUUUAUGUGUCUGGGUUUCGAUAUAUGGUUCUCCGUGUGUUCUGGUUCUCUCUGUACUACGGGUUUCAUUUUCUGUACAUAAUCAAUCAGUAUAGUUUGGUAACUGGUGUGACUUGUUUUAGCUUUGUGUUGUUCCUUGAUUUUGGAGCUUAAAAGUGCUUAUAACUGUGGUGUUGUGACCAUCAGUUUGGCUGUUGCAUUUGGAAGGCUCAGGACAAUGUUUGGCUGUUGCAAAUACAACAUCAAAUUUGCCGAAAGUUGUGAACGGCUCGAGGAAGAAACCCGACGACUCUCCACCAUCUGCGAGAGGCGAACCCGCGGCAGAGCUUCUCUUCCUCGGUAGCAGAGACGGAGAAGACAGAGGAAGAGGACGACGGCGGUGAAGAUAUAGUGGCCAUAUCAUCUCACCGACUGUGGUUUUCAGUCUACUCCUCAAGGAUGGAGGAGAAGACAUAUCCAGCAGAUGCUUGCUGUUGGGUUCUUUUGUUGUAAACUUUUCAGGUUCUUAUGUUGUUAGGUGACCAGAUACUUGCUGUUGGGUUUGAGGAGGCUGUGGAGUCUGAUUCUUGAGAAUCUCCCACAGAACUACAAAAGAGACAAAGCAUGCUUUUCUCAGAAACUAUGCCUACUUGGGUGAAGAAGUUGGCGAGGAAGUACCUUGACAAUCCUCUGAAUAUCUUUCCUGAUCAGAGGAAAGAUUGACUCUCACUUGUUCCUGUCCAUAGUGAUGGUCUCUGUUUCUUUCUUUUGACCUUGCUGUAAUUUUUUCCAGGUUGGCUAUUUUGAUUGCGUUUUUGGCUGCUUUGUUUGUAUUGUCACAUACCUUGUUACCUUGGUUUCUAAAGCUCACGACAAGCAUUUCUUCUCAGUGUAGUUACAAGCUCAGUCUAAGUCUUGAAUUGGGUUCCACUGCGGCAGGAGUGAUGAUAUCAACAACUGAUUUCGCCCAGCACACUCUUAAGAGUUGAGAAGCGAUAGAAUUCGAAGAUGGCAGAGAAAGGUAAACACUGGACGUUCGAAGAAGAUGAGACGUGGAGAUGGCAAGAGGAAGAAGAGUUUAGUUUUUUUUUUGUUUCUGGUUUUACUUAGAUUUUCUUAAUUCUGGUUAGUUUUAUAAACUGGAAUUUAUGUGUAAACCAAAUUUAGUUUAUAAAUAAAAUUUGUUUUCAUUUUUA